UUGAAAUAUACUUAUCAAUGCAAAAAAAAAAAAAAAGUUGUUAUUAAAUUUAUACUCAUUUUUUCUUCGCUCUGUCUUUCUUGGACUUUAUUCUGCUCUUCUCCAUUAAUUCCUUAGUGACUUUUGGCAUAACACCGCCCUUGCAGGCUUUCAUGACUUGACCAUUCAUCCUGUUUCUUUAUUAUUAUUAUUAUUAUUAUUAUUAUUAUCCUUUAUUUGAAAAAAAAAAAAUUGAGCGAUCAAGAAUCAUCCAUCACUGGUAUCAAAUAGCUAUAUCCUUCUUGUUAGAUUUUUGUUUUUUGUUUUGACAAAUUAGAUUUUUGUAUUUUGGUUAGACCUAACGGUGCUACCAAGGUAUGACGAUUACUAAUAUUUGAGUUUUUGAGCUUUGUCAAUGGCUUUAUGUGACAAAAGUAGUGCUUUUUUUUUUCUUUCAUAUAUUAGUAUAUUACAAUUAGAGAACUAUUGAUAUUUAUAAACAGAAAUCAAUUAAAACUCUCUUUAAUAAUUUUAUUAUGAAACAUUCCAAAAUUUUUGACGAGGAGAUAAAUAGAUCCCUAUUUAAUUUUAUCAAGACAAAAAUCAAAUUUCAACUAUUGUUGAGACUCAUACUCUUAAGUGCAUAAAUUAUCUAUGAACUUCGAGUUCAUCGGCAAAAAAUAGUACUCUUUUAAUUAUAAUUGGACCAGUGCUGCAUUACAAUUAGCGUAAUGUACGCCCACAUACAACAAUAAUGGUGGAUCCCAUCAACAAAUAUUGAUGUUGUGUGUAAGUGUACGUUACGUUAAUAAUAACGCAGGGGCUCCUUAUAAUUGAGGCUUUUUCUGUUUUUGCUUUUCUUCAAAACUACCUCCUAGUCUUCUUGAUGUGAGAGAGCGUGGAUUAUGAUAACACAAUAUUCAAUGAACCAAGUUCUGCAAGCUAAGUAAAGUGUUAUGUUGCGAUGAAGCCGCUCAUCAUAACGGCGAGCGAAGCCAAUCCAUCCACUAGAUUUUUGGUUCUUACUAUUGAAUGCGAAUGUGGAGAAGUCGAACAAGAAAGGCAUGUCCCCUGUGUUUUCGGCUAAUACUGUCGAAAUCUUUCCCCCCCACCCCCCAAAAUGGUCAAAUUUGUCUUGCUGCUUGCUGGCAGUGUGCUUAUUAACAGUAAAGAACAAUUUUUUAUCCAAACGUCCAAUUUUGGUCCCACCAUUGAGUAAUCCAAAAUUGUCCCUUCAGUCCCCCAUAAGAGAUGUUUCCAGAUUCUUAUACGAGCCUCCAAACCAACCAUAAGGAAAACGGCCUUUUUUUAAUUUGCUUUUAUCAUUUUGCGGGAAAAGUCAUUUUCAACAAAUUAAUGCCCAGAAGAAUGAAGAAAUUGUCUCGCAUUUGAAACAUAAAUACAAAACGGUUGCUUGGGUUUCUCCUGAAUCGGAUUUCGUUUAUCCAGCGUACUGUCUUUUUGUGGAUCAUACUCGCGGAGAGAUCCCGUGGUUCAUAAAAUUAUCCUUAAUUAUCUGCUGAAAUUUAAUUUCCUAUACGCAAAAGUUAGAUGUAUGUGGCGUUUGUGUUUUUUUUUUUAAUUUAAAAUUUGAAUA
rnacentral:lncRNA from 1 species